rnacentral:rRNA from 1 species
AACGGCCAUACCAUGCUGAAUAUAUCGGUUCUCGUUAGAUCACCGAAGUCAAGCAUCAUUGGGCGUGGUCAGUACUUGGGUGGGUGACCACCUGGGAACACCGCGUGCCGUU